rnacentral:rRNA from 1 species
GUGAGGAAUAUUGGACAAUGGGCGCAAGCCUGAUCCAGCCAUGCCGCGUGCAGGAAGACGCAUCUAUGGUGUGUAAACUGCUUUUGUACGGGAAGAAACACUCCCUCGUGAGGGAGCUUGACGGUACCGUAAGAAUAAGGAUCGGCUAACUCCGUGCCAGCAGCCGCGGUAAUACGGAGGAUCCAAGCGUUAUCCGGAAUCAUUGGGUUUAAAGGGUCCGUAGGCGGUUUAAUAAGUCAGUGGUGAAAGCCCAUCGCUCAACGAUGGAACGGCCAUUGAUACUGUUAGACUUGAAUUACAAGGAAGGAACUAGAAUAUGUAGUGUAGCGGUGAAAUGCUUAGAUAUUACAUGGAAUACCAAUUGCGAAGGCAGGUUACUACUUGUGGAUUGACGCUGAUGGACGAAAGCGUGGGGAGCGAACAGGAUUAGAUACCCCUGUAGUCC